GAUGAAGAACGUAGCGAAAUGCGAUAAGUAGUGUGAAUUGCAGAAUUCAGUGAAUCAUCGAAUCUUUGAACGCACAUUGCGCCCCCUGGUAUUCCGGAGGGCAUGUCUGUCCGAGCGUCAUUAGUCCAAUCUCAAGCCCGGCUUGUCGUUGGGUCGCACCGCCCGGGGCGGUGGACCCGAAAUAUAAUGACGGGGUCUAGCGGACCGUGGGCGCAGCGAGCUUUUACAGCACGCGUCCCGGCGUCAUCUAGACGCGUCUCCAACCAUACUCUCUGUAGGUUGACCUCGGAUCAGACAGGAUUACCCGCUGAACUUAAGCAUAUCAAUAAGCGGAGGA
rnacentral:misc_RNA from 1 species